rnacentral:rRNA from 1 species
CCAGCAGCUGCGGUAAUUCCGGCUCCAAUAGCGUAUAUUUAAGUUGUUGCAGUUAAAAAGCUCGUAGUUGGAUUUCGGGCGGGUGACGGCGGUCCGCCUCUGGUGUGCACUGCUGCUCAUCCGCCUUACUGUCGGGGACGGGCUCCUGGGCUUCACUGUCCGGGACCCGGGUUCGACAUGGUUACUUUGAGUAAAUUAGAGUGUUCAAAGCAGGCGUUCGCCCUGAAUACAUUAGCAUGGAAUAACAUGAUAGGACUCUGCCCUAUUCUGUUGGCCUGUAGGAGUGGAGUAAUGAUUAAGAGGAACAGUCGGGGGCAUUCGUAUUUCAUUGUCAGAGGUGAAAUUCUUGGAUUUAUGAAAGACGAACUACUGCGAAAGCAUUUGCCAAGGAUGUUUUCAUUAAUCAAGAACGAAAGU